rnacentral:rRNA from 1 species
AGAGUUUGAUCCUGGCUCAGGAUGAACGCUAGCGGCAGGCUUAACACAUGCAAGUCGAGGGGCAGCACGAGGUAGCAAUACUUUGGUGGCGACCGGCGCACGGGUGCGUAACGCGUAUGCAACCUACCUUUAACAGGGGGAUAACACUGAGAAAUUGGUACUAAUACCCCAUAACAUCAUGAAAGGCAUCUUUUAUGGUUGAAAAUUCCGAUGGUUAGAGAUGGGCAUGCGUUGUAUUAGCUAGUUGGUGAGGUAACGGCUCACCAAGGCAACGAUACAUAGGGGGACUGAGAGGUUAACCCCCCACAUUGGUACUGAGACACGGACCAAACUCCUACGGGAGGCAGCAGUGAGGAAUAUUGGUCAAUGGACGCAAGUCUGAACCAGCCAUGCCGCGUGCAGGAAGACGGCUCUAUGAGUUGUAAACUGCUUUUGUACGAGGGUAAACUCACCUACGUGUAGGUGACUGAAAGUAUAGUACGAAUAAGGAUCGGCUAACUCCGUGCCAGCAGCCGCGGUAAUACGGAGGAUCCAAGCGUUAUCCGGAUUUAUUGGGUUUAAAGGGUGCGUAGGCGGUUUGAUAAGUUAGAGGUGAAAUACCGGGGCUCAACUCCGGAACUGCCUCUAAUACUGUUGAACUAGAGAGUAGUUGCGGUAGGCGGAAUGUAUGGUGUAGCGGUGAAAUGCUUAGAGAUCAUACAGAACACCGAUUGCGAAGGCAGCUUACCAAACUAUAUCUGACGUUGAGGCACGAAAGCGUGGGGAGCAAACAGGAUUAGAUACCCUGGUAGUCCACGCAGUAAACGAUGAUAACUCGUUGUCGGCGAUACACAGUCGGUGACUAAGCGAAAGCGAUAAGUUAUCCACCUGGGGAGUACGUUCGCAAGAAUGAAACUCAAAGGAAUUGACGGGGGCCCGCACAAGCGGAGGAACAUGUG